AUUGAACGCUGGCGGCAUGCUUUACACAUGCAAGUCGAACGGUAACAGGCCUUCGGGUGCUGACGAGUGGCGAACGGGUGAGUAAUGCAUCGGAACGUACCCAGAGGUGGGGGAUAACGCAGCGCAAGCUGUGCUAAUACCGCAUGUGAUCUGAGGAUGAAAGCGGGGGACCGAGCAGCAAUGUUUGGCCUCGCGCCUUUGGAGCGGCCGAUGUCGGAUUAGCUAGUUGGUGGGGUAAAGGCCUACCAAGGCGACGAUCCGUAGCUGGUCUGAGAGGACGACCAGCCACACUGGGACUGAGACACGGCCCAGACUCCUACGGGAGGCAGCAGUGGGGAAUUUUGGACAAAGGGCGCAAGCCUGAUCCAGCAAUGCCGCGUGCGGGAAGAAGGCCUUCGGGUUGUAAACCGCUUUUGGCAGGAACGAAACGGUGUCCGCUAAUACCGGGCGCUAAUGACGGUACCUGCAGAAUAAGCACCGGCUAACUACGUG
rnacentral:rRNA from 1 species